ensembl:lncRNA
AAAGCCCUUAGGACCUCUCCCUUAGCUUGGGGGGUCUCAGUGUCAGUCUUAGCUGCUGAUCUGUUUCUACUUUCUUAAGCACACUUGAUUUCAGGAAGUGCUCAAACAAUGAGAAGGAUGGACAGGGUUAAAUUCAUAACAGGGUACUUAUUCACACCACAUUAGCCAUGGGAAUACUACAAGUAGACAUAAAAUUUUAUUCCUGUGAUAAUAUACUUCAAGCUCUAAAAAGAUCCUGUAAAGAAAAGAAUUUCCUUUAAAAAGAAAGGGGAAAAGAAUAGCCCAAACAAAACCAGUUCCUAUCGAGGUUAAGAGUGCCGCGUCAUAGAGAUUAGAAGAGCUAUCGCUGGUAACGACAGCCUACAGGAAAUGUGGCCAGAAGAGACGUCCAUCCAGAAAAUGCAAAUGAUUAUGACUUUUCUUAUUGACUACUGGAAAGCCAGAAGCCCAGAAUCCCUCAGUGUAAUACACAGAGCUGCCCGGCGUUCCCAGGUAUCUGCAGAGAGCACGUGACCUGGGUCAUGGAGGAAGCCGGCAAGUCUGUCUGCAGGAAAGCUUUGCACAGAGGAAGCCACGACCAACUAACUGCUUUCAGCAUGCAGCCCAGGACAUCCCCGUUCUUACCACCCCUGUGCCCUGUAACAAUUCCGAUUCUCUCUCUUUCCUGCAUCGGGUGAUGAGAAAUGCCUUCCACCAUUCCAUCAACAAACAGCUGGACGAAAGCCAAAGGACCAUACAUCCUGGUCUGCCAUGCCCGUUUUAAUCAACUUCCUAAUUAAAAAAUGCCAUGCUGGCAUGAGGCAUAACAUGUGGUACAGGGCAGAGCUCCUGGGAUACAGAGCCCCCAGUGCGACCACUGCCCACAGAGCAGCUAAGACAGGGCACCGGACAUUUGAAAUCUCACGGAUGAAUUACAUGGUUUAGCUAUGGAAGGCUGUAAUCUCUUCUAAAGUUGAUAUCCAACCUCAGAGGGAAAGUUAAAAAUAAAAGAAAAUAAAACAAAAAGUCCCCUUAGAAAUCACAUUUUCAGGCUGGUUC